rnacentral:lncRNA from 1 species
GUGGCUCUGGAAGUGAAAAGCAAUCAAGGUGGCCUCUUCCCCGUUCCCACCAUAGACUUCUGGCAGCAGAGUGCAGUUGCAUCAUCUCUGUGGAGCUUCCAGGCAAGAUUUUGUCCUACACUCAGAGACUAUUUUAGAUGUCCAAGAAGGAAUGAAGUUACAGAGCCUGUUUCAGAAGAACACUUUGGUAAACAGAUUAUAAACCCUGCUCUCUGCACCAGAGAUAUCUCCCGUACCACUGUACUGGAUGGCAUUUUCACUGGACCUUGCUUAUUUCUACUUUUUUUCACCCCUGCUCACUGAUAGGUUGCCUAU